rnacentral:rRNA from 1 species
GAGUCGGACCUGCCCAGUGAAUAAUUUUUAACGGCCGCGGUACUCUGACCGUGCAAAGGUAGCAUAAUCAUUUGCCCUAUAAUUGAGGGCUAGUAUGAAUGGUUUGACGUGAACAAAACUGUCUCUACAUAAUUUUUUAGAACUUGAUUUCUAGGUGAAGAAACCUAGAUAUUAUUGAUAGACAAGAAGACCCUAUUGAGCUUUAAAAAAAUAGACUGAAGACAACUUAUAUAUUAUAAAUAUUAAUCCGUUUAAGAUUUUGGUUGGGGCGACUAUGGAACAAACAAAGCUUCUUUACAAUCACAAAACCUGCAAGUUUUGAUCCAAGCAUUUUGAUCAAUGGAAUUAGUUACCAUAGGGAUAACAGCAUAAUUCUCUUUGAGAGUUCUCAUCGAAAAGAGAGUUUGUGACCUCGAUGUUGGACUAGAAUAUCCUAAAGAUGCAGCAGUCUUUAAGGGUUGGUC